UUAAUUGAAGCCAAAAUUUAUGAGGCAUUUCAUUGUUAAUGAAAUUAAUGAUAAUUAAAAAUCCAAUUAAA
rnacentral:tRNA from 1 species